rnacentral:rRNA from 1 species
GAGAAGUUGUUUCGGAAGAGAUGAUGGUCCAAGUCCCUUGGAACAGGGCGUCGCAGAGGGUGAGAAUCCCGUAUGUGACCAAUCAUCGAUUCCAUGUGAAACCCUUUCGACGAGUCGAGUUGUUUGGGAAUGCAGCUCUAAAUGGGUGGUAAAUUUCAUCUAAAGCUAAAUACCUGCCAGAGACCGAUAGCGCACAAGUAGAGUGAUCGAAAGAUGAAAAGCACUUUGAAAAGAGAGUCAAACAGUACGUGAAAUUGUUGAAAGGGAAGCGCUUGCAAUCAGACUCGUUUGUAGAAGUUCAGCCUUCUUUCGAGAUGGUGUAUUCUUCUGUCAACGGGCCAGCAUCAGUUUCGGCGGUUGGAUAAAGACUUUGAGAACGUAUCU